AUACUUUGAUCCAGAGUGGGAAGGCAUUGCGGGGAGCUGCAGCUCAGAUUGAUUUUUGUUUGCUUUUGCUGCUUCUCCAGCUUCUUUGAGAACCUGCCUCUUUUCUCUGAAGGAUCAAGAAUGGAAAUGUCCUCCCUGCUGCGGAAGGAGAAUGCUCUGAAAUCAAAUGACUCACCUCAGUGGGCAGCCUUCCUGGGGGGACUUGGAUACCUACCUCGUUGUUGGAGAGCUGAUACCAUGGCUGUUUGCCAUAGGUGAAGAUCUCCCAUAACACAACUCCCAGGCUCCAGACAUCACUUUCUGUGGUGAAUUUUCUAUACAUGAUACUCUCGGGAGGCAUCCAGCGGAUGGGCAACAUCGUAUGGCCCCCAACCUGGUAGGACAUGAAAAUAAAAAAGCAAACAAGCAAA